AUUGAACGCUGGCGGUAUGCUUAACACAUGCAAGUCGAACGAUGAGAAAGAGCUUGCUCUUUCGAUUAGUGGCGGACGGGUGCGUAACGCGUAGGAAUCUACCUAUUAGUGGGGGACAACUUAGGGAAACUUAAGCUAAUACCGCAUACGCCCUACGGGGGAAAGAAGGGGAUCGCAAGACCUUUUGCUAAUAGAUGGGCCUGCGUAGGACUAGCUAGUUGGUGGGGUAAAAGCUCACCAAGGCGACGAUCCUUAACUGGUUUGAGAGAAUGAUCAGUCACACUGGAACUGAGACACGGUCCAGACUCCUACGGGAGGCAGCAGUGGGGAAUAUUGGACAAUGGGCGAAAGCCUGAUCCAGCAAUACCGCGUGUGUGAAGAAGGCCUUAGGGUUGUAAAGCACUUUCAAUUGGAAGGAAAACCUCGAAGCUAAUACCUUCGAGUUUGACAUUACCUUUAGAAGAAGCACCGGCUAACUCCGUGCCAGCCGCCGCCGUAACAC
rnacentral:rRNA from 1 species